GAGGGUAUAGCUUAAUUGGUAGAGCACAUGUUUAGCAUGCACGAGGUCCUGGGUUCAAUUCCCAGUACUUCCA
rnacentral:tRNA from 1 species